rnacentral:lncRNA from 1 species
AAAGGCAGAACUUGAUGAGGUGAUUAUUGGACUGGUUAGUCCACAUGUUUGAGCCUAUUAGUAUUUAUGAUACAACUGUCAGUCUUAGAGGUGUGACUGUCAUGUCGUACAGGCUGUAAUCCCUUUUUUAAGACUAGAUAACGCCAAGUAGCAACAUGCACACUCUGAGAGCUGCUUUUCCAUGCUUGUUUGGCUGUGUACAAGGGUUUUUUGAGUAAUUCACAAUUAACAAUGGAAAGUCUGAUGCCAGCCUGUCAUCUUGUCCAUAUGAUGGUACAUGCCCAAAUGAUAUUAUUCAAUUAAAAAAAAGAAAGAGGAUUAUGUGUUUCUACUACAGAACAGUGUAUUUUCCACUACAAUAACCAAAUGGCAUUUGUACUUCUUUAUUGUAAGCUAGAAGUUUACAGGCAAAAAAAAAAAAAAAAAAGAGGAAGAGAGGUUUCUUAAGGUAGUGGGACUUCAGUGCAGUAACAUAACAUUAAGGAAAUUAGCACCUCUUUUUUUUACCCCUUUGUAGAUGUAUAAUUUCCAGUAAUUGUCUUUGACAUCCUGCUAUGAAGCGUCCUUUCCGCUUCUGCUCAUGUAGAUCAUGUAAUUCAAACACAGUUACCUGUAAUUUUCUGUGAUCUCAAUGAAAUCUUCACCGCUAGGAUAAAGGGAAGAGCCCAGCUUGCUUAGAGAAGACCUGAUAUGGCCUUUCUUCUUGGCCAGUCAUGCCUGAAACUCUCUGUGUCCUGGAGCUCCAUUUUGUGGGUAGCUGGUCAAAGUCUGCGAGCAGCACUUUCUGUGCCAGAAGCCAGAACUGAAGCAUGUUGUUUAGGGCCAACUGUUGUGCAGCAGCUGCAGAGCCCUCAGAAAAAACAUUUGUCUUGGACUUUUCAGCUCAAACCUCAUUCUGGCACUUGACCUACUUAGACCCAUUUCAGCCUCUGUGGUUGUAUAAUUUCCAGGUUGAACAAGGACACUCUGCCACUGCUUCCCUACCCAAGACGUUAAAGUAUCUUGCAGCUAGAGACAAAAGUUGUUAUCUCCAACGGGAACUGUAAGGAAUAUUAACACCGGCUGCCUCGUGAGUGCCUGUUCUUUAAAUACUGCUUCUUGAAAGUAAACUUCAGAGUAAUUACUGAAGGUCAGUGUUAUUCCGCAUGUAAGUCCUUUCACUUUAGUUUUCUUGUCUGUAGCAACCACCCAGCCACCCACGUGGAUGGCAGACCCAGGAACGGAAGGAACCAUUGCUUCCUGCAUCCCACGCCAUUGAAAGUUUCUUCAUGAAAAUAGGAAAUUACUUUAAGCACAUUAUUGUCUUUGGAAAAAAAAGUAUGCUGUUUUGGCAUCCAUUCUAUAAAUUCGCUAGUUUCCCUGUCUUGCAAAGGACAGCGUGUCACUUCUUUUCUUGCCUGUAGUUCUCACUCUAAAACAGAGGGGUGGGAGGUUGACACUGUUCUGCCUUCAAGUGCUGUGGGUAAGGAAGCCUGCUCCUGCAGAAGGUGCAAAAAUGAGUGACUAAGAAAGAAACAGGGGAGGAGUGUUCCUACAAGGACUAAAAUCUUAAUGAGAGUACUUUCCUCUUGAAUAUGGUCACCUUUCUAAAAUGAUAGGAAGCAGAACAUCAGAAAUCCAACCUGGCCAGAAAGCAGUGUGGUUUUCAAAGAAAAUGCUGCAAUGUGGAUUUCAGUGAAAAUACUUUUGUUAUGAUUUUUGAGAUUGGCAGUAUUUAAAAUGUCUUCAGGUUUAGUCUGUUCAGGGUUGAGUUUUCUAACUGGGGAACAGCUAUGGUUGAAGUCUAAAUAUUUAGCUGGGCUUUUCUACUGCUUGUAUUCUCAGAAAUUUUCAGAGUAAGUACAGAAGAACCAGCAUUUCUAACAAAGUAAGUUCCCAGUUUUUGAUUUUUUGGUUGGAAGUAGACCAAUAAGGAAUUUGCAAACAAUCCCAGGUGCUCAGGCUGCAGCAAUUCCCCAGUGAGAUUAAAAACCAUGAAUUGUUCUGCCUGUGCACACAUGAAAAGGUUCCUGUGCAGUAGUUCCCCUACCACCUCAUGCGUAUGUCUUAGAGUAUGAACGUAUGAGCAGUGUGCAUGCCUGAGGGUUGAUUGACUUUUACAGCUGUUGUCGCUGACAUCUCUGGUACUGCAGAGGAGGGAAGGCCGGGCCUCUGGAGGACUGGGUUUUUACCACUUGGAGGUCUCCAGUUGUGGCUGUUGCGAAACAGAAACUGAAGGAGAUUUUUCUUCUGGCAGAAGAGCAGUUACUUGGAAACUAGAACCGCUGUUUUAUCAGGGUUGAGCAGAUGCUUUCUGGGCUCUGAGAUCAGCCACUUUGUGUCUCCUUUAUCUUCUCUAGCCCUUCCAUGGCCAAAGUUAUUCUUGGAGAUCUUCUUAUCUAACCACAAACCCAUUUGGAUCGAGAAGUGUAGUAAGUUGUUUAAAGGCUGGUGGGACGAUUGUGCUGCCAAGGAAGACUGCUGCUGCUUGUAAGGUCAGCAGCAGCCGUGGUGUUGGCUCAGCUGGAGUCAACAUUGCUUCAGCUGCUGGUGGCUGAACUUGGGCCUUCCCCCCAGAUGACCUUUGCUGACUGACCUGUGUGCUCACCACAGGUGUCCUCUGCCUUCCACCCACCCCAACUCUUAGAAAUGCUUUCAUAAUAAAAUAUUUUGAGGGAAGUUACCUGGGUUAUUU